rnacentral:lncRNA from 1 species
UAAGUUUUUUUAUUUGUAGACACGGGUUUUACUAAGUUAGAUUGUUUUUCAAUAUAAAAUCAAUGAUCGGUACAUAUUCCUUAUAUAUUAUUUAAAUUUUUUUAUCUAAUAUUUAAUUGGAAUUUUGUUUUGAAUAUACUUCUUCAUGAUUCUUUAAACAUUAAUUUUGAAAUAACGAAUAUGGAUCAAUAAACUACUUUUAC